GGGAAUGUGGCUUAGUGGUAGAGUAUUUGCCUAGCAUGCAUGAAGCACUGGGUUCAAUUCCUCAGUACCA
rnacentral:tRNA from 1 species